CUUGAGGUUGCAGCUUGGGAUGCCCUCCUCCAGGACAUCACCCUUCUUCCUAUAGACGUUGCCGACUCUCCGGAUGCCAUCUCUUGGCAUCUGGAACCCUCUGGCUGCUUCUCCACCAAAUCCCUCUACGCGGCGAUCGCCCCAUCGACGGCCCCCGAGCCCUUUAGUUUGAUUUGGGACAUCCGCCUGCCCUUGAAGAUCAGGAUCUUCCUGUGGCAAUGGAUCUGUGGCCGCCUCCCGUCCGGCAUUGAGGUCCUUAAGCGUCAUGGACCUGGAGAUGGGAUGUGCCCCAUGUGUGACACGGUAGAGGAUGCCAACCACAUCUUCUUCUCGUGCUACACGACACAAUUCCUUUGGUCCUGUUUCCGCGAAACGGUUGGGGGCCAGUGGUGCAACACCAACUUCCCUGACCUGCUUGUGGAGAUUCAGGCCUCACCCCCUCGCUAUAGGCAUAUUAGAUGGCUUUGCGUGGGGGUCCUUGCCUGA
rnacentral:rRNA from 1 species